CACAGUAGGCAAAUCCGCUGUACAAUCCGAAGACGUGAUGCGGACCGAAUUAAGAGUAGGGAAGUGUGUGAGCCAUGCGUCAAGAAAAGCCGCUAUUGUUUUACUUAAGCCCGUACCGUAAACCGACACAGGUGGAUGAGGAGAGAAUCCUAAGGCCGACGGGAGAAGCAUUGUUAAGGAACUCGGCAAAAUGACUCCGUAACUUCGGGAGAAGGAGUGCCAGCGAGAGCUGGCCGCAGAGAAUUGGCCCAAGCAACUGUUUAGCAAAAACACAGGUCUAUGCAAAACCGUAAGGUGAAGUAUAUGGGCUGACGCCUGCCCGGUGCUGGAAGGUUAGGAGGAGAGGUUAGCGGUAACGCGAAGCUUUGAAUUUAAGCCCCAGUAAACGGCGGCCGUAACAAUAACGGUCCUAAGGCAGCGAAAUUCCUUGUCGGGUAAGUUCCGACCCGCACGAAAGGCGUAAUGAUUUGGGCACUGUCUCAACAAUGCACCCGGUGAAAUUGAAAUACCAGUGAAGAUGCUGGUUACCUGCGCCAGGACGGAAAGACCCCAUGGAGCUUUACUCCAGCUUGAUACUGGGAUUCGGUAUUGCAUGUACAGGAUAGGUGGGAGGCUAGGAAGUGAUAACGCCAGUUGUCACGGAGCCGCUGUUGGGAUACCACCCUUGCAGUAUUGGAUUUCUAACCAGCGACCAUGAACUGGUCGGGGGACAAUGUCAGGUGGGGAGUUUGACUGGGGCGGUCGCCUCCGAAAGGGUAUCGGAGGCGCUCAAAGGUUCCCUCAGAAUGGACGGAAACCAUUCGAAGAGUGCAAAGGCAGAAGGGAGCUUGACUGCGACACCGACGGGUGGAGCAGGUACGAAAGUAGGACUUAGUGAUCCGGUGGUAUAAAGUGGGAUUGCCAUCGCUCAACGGAUAAAAGCUACCCUGGGAUAACAGGCUUAUCACUCCCAAGAGUUCACAUCGACGGAGUGGUUUGGCACCUCGAUGUCGGCUCAUCGCAUCCUGGGGCUGAAGUAGGUCCCAAGGGUUGGGCUAUUCGCCCAUUAAAGCGGUACGCGAGCUGGGUUCAGAACGUCGUGAGACAGUUCGGUCCCUAUCCGGCGUGGGCGUAGGAUAUUUGAGAGGAGCUGUCCUUAGUACGAGAGGACCGGGAUGGACUGGCCGCUGGUGUAUCUGUUGCUUACCAAAUGCAUGGCAGAGUAGCCAAGCCGGGACGGGAUAAACGCUGAAGGCAUCUAAGCGUGAAGCCCCCCUCAAGAUGAGAUAUCCCUACGUAAGUAGUAAGACCCCUUGAAGACGACGAGGUAGAUAGGUCAGAGGUGGAAGUACAGUAAUGUAUGGAGCUGACUGAUACUAAUCGGUCGAGGGCAUGACCA
rnacentral:rRNA from 1 species